rnacentral:rRNA from 1 species
UUGUUCUUAUGAAGUUAGCGGCGGACGGGUGAGUAACACGUGGGUAACCUGCCCAUAAGACUGGGAUAACUCCGGGAAACCGGGGCUAAUACCGGAUAACAUUUUGAACCGCAGGGUUCUAAAUUGAAAGGCGGCUUCGGCUGUCACUUAUGGAUGGACCCGCGUCGCAUUAGCUAGUUGGUGAGGUAACGGCUCACCAAGGCGACGAUGCGUAACCAACCUGAGAGGGUGAUCGGACACACUGGGACUGAUACACGGCCCAGACUCCUACGGGAGGCAGCAAUAGGGAAUCUUCCGCAAUGGACGAAAGUCUGACGGAGCAACGCCGCGUGAGUGAUGAAGGCUUUCGGGUCGUAAAACUCUGUUGUUAGGGAAGAACAAGUGCUAGUUGAAUAAGCUGGCACCUUGACGGUACCUAACCAGAAAGCCACGGCUAACUACGUGCCAGCAGCCGCGGUAAUACGUACGUGGCAAGCGUUAUCCGGAAUUAUUGGGCGUAAAGCGCGCGCAGGUGGUUUCUUAAGUCUGAUGUGAAAGCCCACGGCUCAACCGUGGAGGGGUCAUUGGAAACUGGGAGACUUGAGUGCAGAAGAGGAAA